rnacentral:lncRNA from 1 species
UUUUUUUCGGUGUUGUCUAUUUCCUUUUAUUUAGUUGCAAAUAUACACAUUUUUUCUGUGAUAACUCCACUGGAACUGCUCAAAGAACCAACAUUUCAGCACCUGUUCAUCUGAUUUGCUGAAUAAGGGACAUUACACAUCUGGAGUGCCUGUGGAGAUGUCCUCUUCUUCUGUUUGGAAAUUAUGCUCCAGUAAAUUUCAGAAACAGGAAUCUCACCACCAAAAGUGGAAACUUUACAAUUAAAGGUAUGUUGGACAACUGUAGCUGCACAUACACAGACCAAAACACUGCAGUCCAACGCCACCUUCUGCAGUGCCAGGUCAGGAGAGUUCUGGCCACACUGUGUCCACACAUAUGCAAUCCUCAGUUUCACUUGGAGCCAACCUGGUUUUUCUUUUCUGUGUACAGUACUCUUUAAAGGUGAUUACAGUUACAAACAAUUCAUCAAUUAAAUAAUAGUAAUGAUAAUAAUAAUCAUCAUCAUCAUCAAGACUUAUACAACCUCUUGGCUUGAGUAUUAGCUACUUAACAAUUGCUUGUAUUUAUAAUUGUACCAGUCCUCCAAAAUAAAUGUACAAUCAAGAAGACAAUGAUUUUUUCUUCAAUGUUCUAAAAAGAGUAUGAAAUCACAUGUAAGGUUUCUUUUUGGAAAUUAUUUAUAUUAUUUAUUUGUUUUAGUCACUGUUAGUAAAUUGGAAGCUGACAUUGGAAGCUGACAUAAAACUUGUUUCCAAAUGUAUAAAGUUUUUUCUUUUCAGUAAUAUAUUAAUCACAAGUCAGCUAAAUAAUUAAUACCAUAACUUAACUCUAAGCAAUUGUCUCAUUAUCACUGUUUAAUUCACAGGCACUGGAGUCGACCAACUAAACUCUCUUGACACCUUAACGACACAUUAAAUUCACAGUAACUAAUGCAAAUGGUUUAUAAUUUCCUAGCAUUCAUUAAAACUGUAAUAAAGGCAAGGACAUUCUUUUCUUCUACUGUCAAACACAGAGAGAGAAUAGUAUUACACAUCACCUGUGGUUGAUGAAAAAAAUGUGAGGCGUAUCUGGUUUUAAAUCUUAUCACAUAAUUAAAGACCAUUAAAGUACAGUGCAGAGGGCAAACUAUGUUGGCAAUAGCUGGACUUUAGACUGUGUCAACUUUUUCUUAACAGGGUUUGCUAUGGUUGAUACCUUACAUAUUUUAACUAAACAGAUAGAAGAAAAUAAGAAUUUUGUAUUUUGAAAUCGUAAUAUUUUGUCUCCCAAGUAUUAUACACAAAUAUACAGAAAUUAAAACACUGAGAUACCUUUGGCAGCCCUUGCAAACUCUGCAAAGAAUUCAAUUUAUCUCCAUUAAGAGCUAGUGGAGUCAUUACAUUCAAUUGACUUAAAUAGUACUUAAAUAGAUCAAAUCCCUAAAUCCACAGCCAUACCUGGCAACAUCCCCAAAACAAUAGUCAACAAAUUAUAUAUUUUUAAACACAACUGCAUGAAUAAAAGAUGGAAGAUAAAUGGAAGGAAAAGAACAUGAAAGACAGUGUAGAGCAAAACCAGAAGACAUCUUCCCUUCCCUUUUAAUAUGACCAGUUAUUUCAAGUCCAGCAUGGCUUAAAUCCAAUGCUAGACCUUUAGAACCCUAAACAGCUCAGAAAAUUGUCCUCACUUUCAACUGAGUAGCAUUUCCUUGCGGAGAAGGGUGUCAGUUCUGCUGCAUUUUGCAUGCUCAUAAGGAGGCAAGGGAGAGAACACAGAAGAAUGAGAUGCCCUUUCCUCAAGCCUAAGAGUGCUGAGGGCUGGGCACUCAAACCCAGAGCUGUGGCAGCAGCAGCAGCCCCACAGCUGCCCGGGUUUCAGAGAAAGGAAAAGCUGUGCACCCAACACAAGCUGGUAGCUUGGUCUCAUCUAUCUCCCUGCACAAGCAGUGGUCACAUUUUCUGACAGCAGGAACCCAGGAAAGGCUAAACCAAUGUGCAUUUCUCUUCAUCCUCCUUACAGAUGCUUUCAUGGAAAGCUCAGGAAAACCCCAGUCAAAAAGCAGCAGUGAAUAGGUAGAGAAUCCUACAUCCUAACCCCAAGUGUCCUGCAAGUUUCAUUUAACAUUACAGAUCAGAAAGCAGAUUUCCAGAUUAAAAAUAGACUUCAAAUCUAUUUUUAGGUGUGUUUUUAAAAAAGGCUUUAUUUUUAUGCGCCAAGUGGCCUGAGGCACCCAAGUGACCUCCAGGCCACUCAGUAUUUUUAAGGAGUGAAACAGCACUCUCCUGGACUUUUGAACAGAUAGAAGAGCAUUAUUUUACAUUAUGUUACAGGGAUUGCUUCCUGAACACUCUACCCAGUAAUUACAAGUUGCAUGGUGCAAUUUCAGUGCUGUCUACUACAAAAGUUUCUGCUUCAUAAAAGCACACCCAGAAUGCACCCAAAUGGUUACAACACCUUGUGUCAUCAAAGCCACACGCACCAGCCCUCAGACACACUCUCAGAUGUAGCAGGUUAAAGAAACAUUGGCUGGCAGUGUGGCUCAUGCCUGUAAGAGAAAAAUAUUCUCCUUACAAAUUGCUACUUUGAUACUAAAUUAAUACAUGGAAUUUAGACCAAAAUAAAUUUCUAAAAACAACCUACUCUCCUACUUCCAACAACUAUUUUCAGAAAACUUGACAUUGCCAACAAGAGGGAAAUGUAGGAGUGAAGGAUACCUCAUUUAUUGAGCUGCUGUAAACUCACAACCACUUUGCUGUCUAUGACUGAAAAUUAAAGUGUAAAGAAAAGCAAAUGGGAAUGGGAAAAAAUAAAAAUUUUAAAAAGUUUUUAAUAUGGAAUAAGUCUUAUUAUUUUGGGAAUUUGGUUCCACUUUUUUGGAAUCUAGCACAAGCAUUGUUUAAGUGUUUGCAAGUGCUGAUUUUUUGUUUCUAAACAAAAGAGACUCAAAUACAUAUGAGAAGUGCUCUUAUACCAGGAAGCACAGCAUUAACUGUAAUGUUAACAUAAAUAUUACAGCUGUUAUUGAUUGCAAAUACAAAUCAGGACUUCUAAGAUUACAUUCCUUUAAUUCUAAUGACUCAUAAGAAAGUGUAACUGCACUUCACCCAAAGCAAUUGAAAUUAGCAGCUGUCUAAAGGGACAAAUCUUGCCACAGACUGGCUCUGAUAACAUCCUAAUUUUUCCUUCAAGUGAGAUCAGCCAGCAGCUUGUCUCCAGUUGAUUCCAAAUGGUCUACUCCACUGAUUAAUUUAAAAAUACCUUUCUUUCAUGACCACAGAACUUAUUACAACAUUUAGGAUGUUACUGCUCUUCUAGAGUCUUCCAGAUGCAGUUUGCAUUUCUAAUACUAAAGAAGAACACACUUAGAAAUCUUCAGAUUUUGUCUAAUCAAAAAGCAUACCACUUCUCAAAGUGUUUCUAAAAACACCAUAAGCACAUACAAAUAAAUGAUUGCUUCCAGCAAAAAAAAAAAAAAAAUCAAUUUACUUAUGUAAGGUAUCUGUUCUUACACAUCACUUCUAUGAAAAUAUCAUGCAGAAACUAUGAAUAAUUUUUAGAUACAUUUAAAUAAAUUACUGCAGUUUAACAUGAUAAAUGGUUCUACAUUACAAUCUUUUCCAGUAGCAAAGCCCAAGUAAUUCCUGUCCUUUCUCAUGCAAUUGUUUCUACCAUUUUGCUAGUUUACUCAUCAGUAGUGCUGAUGCAACUGUUUGUGGAGCUGUACUCAAAGCCAAAACGAGAAAAAAUUACCUCAUUUUAGAAAACAACAGUACACUCACUCUUGUUCAUAGGUGUAAUUUUAGAACCUGUAAUUAGAAGGAAAAAAAAAACCCAAAUGUCACAAGUAUUCUAAGUGCCAGUUAAGAAAUCAUGAAUAUAAGGUGUAUUUCUGUUGAAUAGAAAGGUUCUUGUUUAACAGUUAAGAGUUAGAUCACUUACAGGUGGAAACUCAGAAAGUGAAUUACUGCCAGAUAGCCAAAGCUGUCUACAUUUCAUUUCAGGGGAAAAAAUGGUUUUAUUUAUAUUCCAGUUACAGCCUUUCCUGUUGGAGACAAAAGAACCUGAAACACAAAGAGCGAACUUUGCUCAGUUCCCUUUAGUGCCCAGCAGUGUAACUUUCAAAGCAGACCUGCACCCCAGGUAGCAGGAGGCUUCCACAGAGAAUAUUCAUGUUUGAAAGGAGAGCAGCACAUCUUUCUUUGGAACAUCGUCUCACAAGCGGUACAUGAUAAAAAUAUUGUACCUAUUUUUUCCUAUUCAAGAGUUACAGAGUUGGACAAGAGUGACCAAUUAUUUAGAACAAGUGAUGGUUCAUUUCUCCUUCAGAAAUGUUCAAAGCUAACUUCCUGCAUCAGUAGCAGAGGUGUCAGAGGCAGCCUCUGCAGCUGCAUCACUUUCUGUCGAAUGACUUUUCAGACCAAGUGCACCACUUCCACCCAGACAGGCAGGUCACGCACUCACUUGCAGUAUCAGGGAUUUUGCAGACUGGAGAGCAGAAUCCAGAACUAAUCACUGCCUUCCUCAUGGA